GGACUCUUGGCGCAGCCCGGUUAGCGCGCUUCAUUCACAUUGAAGAGGUCGAAGGUUCGAAUCCUUCAGAGUCCACCA
rnacentral:tRNA from 1 species